AUUAUUCCAACCAUUAAAAUUUGGAAAGAAUGGGGGCCAAACGAAGGCUUAAUGUUUUGGGGGUAGAAUAUGUAUCUUAAAAAAACUCUGUUGGUGGUGAUAGAAGAUGGGAGUUAAUAACCCAAAUGGUUACUGAACUUUGCAAAACGUUUUUCACCAGGUCACUGAACUUUAAAAAUCACUCAAGUCAUCACUGAACUUUUUAAAAGGUUUUUACAAGAAUACUGAGCUUUACAAAAGGUUUCCACGGAGUCAUUGAACUUUAAAAAUUAUCGCAUUCAUUAUUGAACUUUGCAAAAACUUUCUCAGGGGUCAUCGAUUUCAAUGACCAUGUGGAAAUCUUUUGACAAGUUCAGUGGUGAAUGGAGUAAUUUUUAAAAUUCAGUGACCCCAUGUAAAUCUUUUACAAAGUCCAGUGAUGAUUUGAAUGAUUUUUAAAAUUCAAUGACCCGGUGAAAACUUAUUGCAAAAUUCAAUGACUAUUUGGAGUAUUAACCCUAGAAGAUGGGGAAGGUGGGAGAGAAAUAGAUUUUUUUUUAUUUUUAAUUUAAUUUUUAAUCAUUCAUUUGGGACAUAUUUUUUACUUCUUUGAAAAUUUU
rnacentral:lncRNA from 1 species